rfam:Gasterosteus aculeatus cont1.009834, whole genome shotgun sequence.
UUUAAAGUGUAAUGUAAGUCGCUUUGGAUAAAAGCGUCUGCUAAAUGACCUUGU